CGGAGCACAGCACAGAGCACACACCACAGCGCACACAGCACAGAGCAUGCAACACAGCACAGAGCGCACCGCGUGCACAGCACACAGCGAGCACGGACCACACAGCGCACGGAGCACACAGCGCACGGAGUGCACAGCACAGCGCAGGCUUCUGGAGCAGAUUCUGGAGGAAGUCCUGGUUCCGCCACUUACCAGCUGUGCGGUUUGGGGCACAGUUCUUCCCCUGCCUUAGUUUAUUUAUCUACAGAAUGGGGUGGGACUAAUAUUUAGUAGGGUUGCUGAGAAUUAAAUGAGUUAAAUAUAGAAGAAUAUCUUUGAACUUGGCAGGCAGUAGACAAAAGUUUCUUAGAGUUAAUAUGUAUGAAGUGCUUAGUGUUUGGCACAUAGUAAAUAAUAUUCGAUGUUAUGUUUUUCUCCACAAAUACGAAUUAUGUCCUCAGCCACCGUAACUGCCCAAGGGGUUCACCUUGCCUGCUGCCUAGACUGAGCCGAUUCAUCAAGACAGGGGAAUUGCAAUAGAGAAAGAGUAAUUUACGCAGAGCCGGCUGUGCAGGAGACCGGAGUUUUUUUUAUUACUCAAAUCAGUCUCGCCAAGCAUUCGGGGAGUCGAGUUUUUAAGGAUAACUUGGUGAGUGGGGGGAAGCCAGUGAGCCAGGAGUGCUGAUUGGUCAGGGAUGAAAUCAUAGGAAGUCGAAACUGUUGUCUUGUGCUGAAUCAGUUCCGGGGGGUCCAGGGGCACAAGAUCCGAUGAACCAGUUUAUUGAUCUGGGUGGUGCCAGCUGAUCUAUCAAGUGCAGGGUCUGCAAAAUAUCUCCAGCACUGAUCUUAGGACCAGUUUAAGGAGGGUCAGAAUCUUGUAGACUUCCAGCUGCAUGACUCCUAAACCAUAAUUUUUAAUCUUGUGGGUAAUGUUAGUCCUACAAAGGCAAUCUACUCCCCAGGCAAGAAGGCGGUCUGCUUUGGGAAAGGGCUGUUACCGUCUUUGUUUAAAUUAGAAAAACUAAGUCUCUCCCAAAGUUAGUUCAGCCUAUGCCCAGGAAUGAACAAGGACAGCUUGGGGGUUAGAGGCAAGAUGGAGUCAGUUAAGUUAGAUCUCUUUCACUGUCUCAGUCAUGAUUUUACAAAGGCGGUUUCACCAUCCCUCCCAUAAACAUGCAGGAGCAGCUAAAGGCAAUUUGGUUUUGAAUUACAUGUUUAUCCUUAUAUCUAAACUAGCAGAAGAAUAUAUUUCAAAAUGUAGGAGAUGGGGCUGGGCGAGGUGGCUCUCACACCUGUAAUCCCAGCACUUUGGGAGGCUGAGGGGGGUGGAUCACUUGAGUCCAGGAGUUCAACACCAGCCUGGGCAACAUGGUGAAACCCCGUCUCUACAAAAAAUACAAAAAAAGUUAGCCGCGCAUGGUGGUGUGCACCUGUAGUCCCAGCUACUCAGGAGGCUGAGAUGGGAGGAUCGUUUGAGCCUGGGAGGUCCAGUCUGCAGUGAGCUGUGAUUGCACUGUUGCACUUCAGCCUGUGUGACAGAAUGAGACCCUGUCUCAAAGAAAACAAAAGUAGGAGAUGGGAUUAUGGUGCUUACUUUUUUCCUUUUCUUUACUUUGUGCCCUUUCAAAUUUUCCAAAGUUUGUAUAUUGAGCAUUUGUUAUUUUUGCAACUAUGGAAAAUGCCAAUUUUCUUUCCCCCCAAAAGACAAGAGAAGGCUCCUGGGAUGAUAAUGGUGUAGGUUAGGAGAAACUUGUUCCCGUGAGUUGAUUAAAGCUCAAACACCAGGCAAGGCUCCUUGGGAAAUGGGUGGACCUUAAAAAUUAAUGAUUCCCUGCUGUUUGUGUCUCAGAAGAAACCUGUGUUUAUUUAUUGCUCUUCAGACUUGCCAUUUCAGCAUAUUGAAAAGAAACCAAACAGAGAGAAAUUAAAAGUGCAUGACUCGAUUCCUUCCUACAAGCUAAAUUGUUCUGAAAAUUUCCUCUUGGAUUCCCAGAUUUUAAGACGCUUAGUCUGCUUCCUGCCCCUAAUUGCUCUAUUAAUUUAAUCUGCUCAAAGUCUCCCAAGAGUCUAGGUCAUCCGCCUUUGGGGCUGGCUCUGUCUGGUAUGGACUGGUCUUCUCCAUAGACAGUUUUGCUGAGUUGUUUUACAUGUUACCCAACCUUCUACUUUGCUAGUUUUCUCCUUCCAAGAGGGUUUCUCCUGACCUAAUUAAAUGAGUUCUGGUAUUUGUGUGAAUUUGCCCAUUGAAAUGAUGUGAACCUAUUUUCCUUUUUUCAGUAGGGACCUAGAGCUACACAUUUGUCCUAAUUUUCCUGUUUUGGGUUCCUGAUCAUUUAUCUUAUGAGCACUCUGUAGCUUUAUGUGUAUCUAGCAUAAAUUGACUCUUUGCAUAAAAACAGACUCAGCAAAUUUGUUUGUCUUUCUGAGCCUUCAUUUCCUCAUCUGU
rnacentral:lncRNA from 1 species